rnacentral:rRNA from 1 species
GAGUAAUGUCUGGGAAACUGCCUGAUGGAGGGGGAUAACUACUGGAAACGGUAGCUAAUACCGCAUAACGUCGCAAGACCAAAGAGGGGGACCUUCGGGCCUCUUGCCAUCGGAUGUGCCCAGAUGGGAUUAGCUAGUAGGUGGGGUAACGGCUCACCUAGGCGACGAUCCCUAGCUGGUCUGAGAGGAUGACCAGCCACACUGGAACUGAGACACGGUCCAGACUCCUACGGGAGGCAGCAGUGGGGAAUAUUGCACAAUGGGCGCAAGCCUGAUGCAGCCAUGCCGCGUGUAUGAAGAAGGCCU